AGGAUCAUUAAAGAAAUUUAAUAAUUUUGAUAUUGGAUUUUUUGUUUUGGCAAGAGCGUGAGAGCUUUUACUGGGCAAGAAGACAAGAGAUGGAGAGUCCAGCCGGGCCUGCGCUUAAGUGCGCGGUCUUGCUAGGCUUGCAAGUUUCUUUCUUGCUAUUCCAAACAGUGAGACUUCUCUGUUUUUGUUAUAGGACAAUUAAAACCGUUUCAAUACAACACACUGUGGAGUUUUUAUACUUUUGCAACUUUUUCUUUGGGUUUCGAGCAAUCGAGCCCAGAGGUAACAAACACAAACAAUUUUAUUUAUUCAUUAAAUUUUUGUCAAAAACAAGAAUUUUCGUAACUGGAAAUUUUAAAAAUAAUUAAAAACUUUCAACAACGGAUCUCUUGGUUCUCGCAUCGAUGAAGAACGCAGCGAAAUGCGAUACGUAAUGUGAAUUGCAGAAUUCCGUGAAUCAUCGAAUCUUUGAACGCACAUUGCGCCCCUUGGUAUUCCAGGGGGCAUGCCUGUUUGAGCGUCAUUUCCUUCUCAAACAUUCUGUUUGGUAGUGAGUGAUACUCUCUGGAGUUAACUUGAAAUUGCUGGCCUUUUCAUUGGAUGUUUUUUUUCCAAAGAGAGGUUUCUCUGCGUGCUUGAGGUAUAAUGCAAGUACGGUCGUUUUAGGUUUUACCAACUGCGGCUAAUCUUUUUUGUACUGAGCGUAUUGAAACGUUAUCGAUAAGAAGAGAGCGUCUAGGCGAACAAUGUUCUUAAAGUUUGACCUCAAAUCAGGUAGGAGUACCCCGCUGAACUUAAGCAUAUCAAUAAGCGGAGGA
rnacentral:rRNA from 1 species